GUUAAGUCCCGCAACGAGCGCAACCCUUGUCCUUAGUUGCCAGCAUUUAGUUGGGCACUCUAGGGAGACUGCCGUCGAUAAGACGGAGGAAGGUGGGGAUGACGUCAAAUCAUCAUGCCCCUUAUGUCCUGGGCUACACACGUGCUACAAUGGAUGG
rnacentral:rRNA from 1 species